rnacentral:snRNA from 1 species
UAGGUCAAGGGUAUAUGGGUAGUUGCACUCCCCUGCUAGAACCUCCAAACAAGCUCUCAAGGUCCAUUUGUAUGAGAACGUAGGGUAGUCAAGCUUCCAAGACUCCAGACACAUCCAAAUGUGGCGGUGCAUGUGGUAGUCUGCCUUAAAAA